UGGGGAAUAUUGCACAAUGGGCGCAAGCCUGAUGCAGCCAUGCCGCGUGUGUGAAGAAGGCCUUCGGGUUGUAAAGCACUUUCAGCGAGGAGGAAGGUGGUGGACUUAAUACGUUCAUCAAUUGACGUUACUCGCAGAAGAAGCACCGGCUAACUCCGUGCCAGCAGCCGCGGUAAUACGGAGGGUGCAAGCGUUAAUCGGAAUUACUGGGCGUAAAGCGCACGCAGGCGGUUUGUUAAGUCAGAUGUGAAAUCCCCGGGCUCAACCUGGGAACUGCAUUUGAAACUGGCAAGCUAGAGUCUCGUAGAGGGGGGUAGAAUUCCAGGUGUAGCGGUGAAAUGCGUAGAGAUCUGGAGGAAUACCGGUGGCGAAGGCGGCCCCCCUGGANGAAGACUGACGCUCAGGUGCGAAAGCGUGGGGAGCAAACAGAUUAGAUACCCUGGUAGUCACGCUGUAAACGAUGUC
rnacentral:rRNA from 1 species